rnacentral:rRNA from 1 species
CCCUUAGAUGUUCUGGGCCGCACGCGCGCUACACUGACGAAGUCAGCGAGCAUGUCCUACGCCGACAGGUGCGGGGAAUCUUGUCAAACUUCGUCGUGAUGGGGAUUGAUUAUUGAAAUUCUUGAUCAUCAACGAGGAAUUCCUAGUAAGCGCAUGUCAGCAGCUUGCGUUGAUUACGUCCCUGCCCUUUGUACACACCGCCCGUCGCUACUACUGAUUGGGUGUUCAAGUGAGAUGCUUAGACCCUUGUUGCAUGGUUCAUUAUUGUGCUCCGAAAGGAAAAAGUUUCAAGCUUGAGUGUCUAGAGGAAGUAAAAGUCGUAACA